ensembl:lncRNA
CUCUCUCUCAUGACUGGGCUCACACACACUCACAAGCACACACACACACAAGCACACACACACACACACUCAGCACUAUACACACACUCACAAGCACACACACACACACUCAGCACUAUACACACACUCACAAGCACACACACACACACUCAGCACUAUACACACACUCACAAGCACACACACUCAGCACUAUACACACACUCACAAGCACACACACACUCGGACACACACUCACAAGCACACACACACUCGGACACACACUCACAAGCACACACACACUCGGACACACACUCACAAGCACACGCACACUCGGACACAGACUUACACCUGUGCCGAAAAAAAGAAAGCAAGAUAAUUAGGCUUUGAUGAAGGAAGUGGUGGAUUUUGUCCCUCUCUCUUUCUCUUUCUCUCUCUCCCUCUCACUUUCUUCCUCUGACUCUCCUCUCCAGAUCUGUCCUUGCGUGCCUCUCUCACACACACACACACACACACACACACACACACCUCUCUCUUUCCACUGUAGUGAGUUCACUUCAAGGCUAGAAUGGGGUCAGCAGGGAAAGAGAGAACAAAAACCCCAAAACACACACACACACACACACACACACACACACAGGUCUUCACGAUACUUCAGUAGUCUCCACAGAUAGAAGGUUUUUGGCAGUCAUUUAGAAUUCCUCGUGAACCCAGGUAGGAAUCCCAUGAGAAAAACAGAAGCAGAACGGCUUAGUUCCAUCCGUGCAUCUCCAGAACUCCAUGUCCCAUGGUGCCCAGGAGCUGUGUCCAGUAGUUCAGGAAGUCUGGUGUAUCUCCUCAGUGAAAGUCCCUUGGCCCGCAGGAGGCAGUUACCUUCCAGCUAGGCGUUAGCACAGGCAGAGUUAGCCUGAGUGAUCCGCUAGGCGUUAGCACAGGCAGAGUUAGCCUGAAUGAUCCGCUAGGCGUUAGCACAGGCAGAGUUAGCCUGAGUGAUCCGCUAGGCGUUAGCACAGGCAGAGUUAGCCUGAAUGAUCCGCUAGGCGUUAGCACAGGCAGAGUUAGCCUGAAUGAUCCGCUAGGCGUUAGCACAGGCAGAGUUAGCCUGAGUGAUCUGCUAGGCGUUAGCACAGGCAGACCUCAGUACCCCAUGGGGCACUAGAUGCUGGGCAUUAGGAUCAGUGGUUCUGGGGCCUCGGUCCUGAGAAGAGACAUCAAACCAGAGGGGUCAUUCCAUCCUGUGUUGCCCAGAUGUUUAAGGCACAUAAUGGGACUAUGACAACGGGUUCCCUGCUCUACAUAUGUGCCCUCCCAGGGUUCUCUGUUCCCUGCUCUACACAUGUGUGCCCUAUUUCCGUGUGUUCUAUGUUCCCAGCGUCCUAUGUUCCCAGCAUCUUAUGUUCCCAGGGUUCUAUGUUCCCAGGGUUCUAUGUUCCCAGCAUCCUAUGUUCCCAGCGUCCUUUGUUCCCAGGGUGUUAUGUUCCCAGCGUCCCUUGUUCCCAGGGUGUUAUGUUCCCAGCGUCCCUUGUUCCCAGGGUGUUAUGUUCCCAGCGUCCUAUGUUCCCAGGGUUUUAUGUUCCCAGGGUUCUAUGUUCCCUGCUCUACACAUGUGUGCCCUAUUUCCGUGUGUUCUAUUUCCAGGGUUCUAUGUUCCCAGCGUCCUUUGUUCCCAGGGUGUUAUGUUCCCAGGGUUCUGUGUUCCCAGGGUUUUAUGUUCCCAGGGUUUUAUGUUCCCAGCAUCCUUUGUUCCCAGGGUUCUAUGUUCCCCAGCUCUUUAUGACACAUAAUGGGAACCUGAAUAAGUCUGUAUUGACGUAAUAUGACAUGGGCUGUUGUUGUGUUUAUAUAGCCUUGUUCCAAUAAAACACUAGAUCAGUGGUUCUUAACCUUAUUGGAGGUACUGAACCCUACAAGCUUCAUCAGUGCAUUCACCGAACCCUUCGUAAUUGGAAAAAUAAAGUAUGAUUUCUUCAAAACAUAGGUAUAUAUAAAAACGGCCCGACAUUGCUAGUGUGAACCGGGCUAUACUGUGUGUGUCUUGACCCCUACCGAACCCCUGAGAGUGACUCAACGAACCCCUGGGGUUUGAUCGAACCCAGGUUAAGAACCACUGCACUAGAUGAUCUUAUUUUAACUUAAACGGGUGACCUGAACA